rnacentral:lncRNA from 1 species
UCCAAGUCUCAGCUUCCUGAGCAGCUGGAUUUACAGGCGUGCGCCACCAGGCCCGGCUGAUUUUUGCAUUUUUAGUAGAGAAGGGAUUUCACCGUAUUGACCAAGCUGGUCUGGAACUCGACCUCAGGUGAUCCACUCGCCUAGGCCUUACAAAGUGUUGAAAUUACAGGCGUCAGCCACCGCGACCGGCGGUGAAAACGAAACGUAUGUCUUAUUUUGACUCUGCAUCAAGGAUAAAGACGGAAAACAAAACGCUGUUUCAUCGGGCAGCAGGUCCUAUGAUAACUUUUUAAAACCUCUUUGGUGGCCAUGGCGCAUUUUGAGAACGUGAUGAACGCUGUAGACCCUUUCCCUCCAAAGAAUGGACAGUAGUGCUGUUAAAGAACAGACUGAUCGACCGGACGCAAUGGCUCACGCCUGUAAUCCCAGCACUUUGGGAGGCCGAGGCUGGCGGUUCACGAGGUCAGGGGUUCGUAGACCAGCCUGGUCAACAUGGUGAAAUCCUGUCUCUACCAAACGUACAAAAAAAAAAAAAAAAAAAAAAAAAAAAAAAAAAACCAAAAAAACAGCCAGGUGUGGUGGCGCACGCCUGUAAUCCUAGCUACUCAGGAGGCUGAGGCAGGAGAAUUGCUUGAACCCGGGAGGCGGAGGUUGCAGUGAGCUGAGAUCGCGCCACCGCGCUCCAGCCUGGGCAACAGAGGGAGACUCCUCUUAGAAAAAAAAAAAAACAACAAGCAUAAAAAUAGACUGAUCAUCUGUAGUUUUCGCACUACUAAUCACGCCCUCCACUAUCUCGUUCGGCAGUCAGGGCCCGCGGGCGAGUCCGGAACACAGUUACCUGCCCCUGUUGCCCACCGGAAGGCAAAGGGAGAGGAACGCGCCGGACCGGAAACGGAAGAGAGCGCAGGGGAUGUUUUUGGCAUGGGGACCCACUGUUUCAGGUGCGCUGUUGGUUGACUUUGUGUCUCGGCGGUGCUUCCUACAGUCUCGGCGUUUCUACCUCUUCAUCCCCGUUCCUGCCACCCGUUGUCCUCUGGAAGCCCGGAGACAUCAGCGGCUGCAAUUUUGCUACUCGCUGCUCUGCAUGGAACGGUCAGAAAUGAGCCCCUGAGUCUUGAGUUGGUGGCAGCUGCAUCUGCUGCCCUCUUUUGACAAACAAGCCAGAGCUGCUCAGGCAGCUCCAUAGCAUGAAGAAGAGUGGGGCACAGAGAGAUGGAGAGAGACCUAAAAUUAGGUAAGUGAAUGAAACCAUUAGGUCAGUAAAUGUUUGUAUCUCAAAAUAGGCCAUUUUCAUGUGGCUAGUAAGUAAUACAUAUAAUAUAUACCACAUAAGGGAAUUUACAUAUAGAAUAUACCAUGUAAGUGGAAUUUUAGCAAUUCAAGUUUUUAAAAAACUUACAUCUUAAGUAAGAUUAUAGUUUUAAGAGACCAAUUGAAUAGUUACUUUCCUUUUAGGAAAUUACAGUUUCUUGUCCAUGAAAAAAGAAAUGAUAAAUUCAGUAACGUUAUUACAAAUAACAGAAUAAGAUAGCUUUUCUGAGAAAAGUACUUUUUUUUUUUCAGUUAAAUAGCCUGCUGUUUUUAUGCAUGGUAUGGCAAUCUUCAGGUCUGUGUUUCCUUCUCUUUUUCCUCUUAUUCUUAUGUUUAAGCUGACAUCUUUCCACUUACUCUCUUCAUCUCUCAUUAUUUUAUACUAUGUUAGACUCCUUGCUGCCUACAUUGUAGUAAGUGGUAGCACUGCUUCAUUUUGGAGAGUGAUCUAAAUCUGUUGUUCCCAAUGAACAUGUGUACCAGAUGUAUUUCAGGAAGUUAAAAGAAAUGGCCAUGUGUGGUGGCUCAUGCCCAUAAUCCCAGCACUUGGUGAGGCUGAGGUAAGAGGAGCACUUGAGGCCAGGAAUUUGAGACCAGUCUGGGCAACAAAACAAGACCGCAUCUUUACAAACCAUAAAAAAAAUUAGCUGGGCAUGGUGGCGUGUGCCUGUAGUUCUAGCUACUUUGGGGGCUGAGGCAGGAGGAUGGCUUAAGUCCAGAG